rnacentral:rRNA from 1 species
AGCGAACGCUGGCGGCAGGCCUAACACAUGCAAGUCGAACGAACCUUUCGGGGUUAGUGGCGGACGGGUGAGUAACACGUGGGAACGUGCCUUUAGGUUCGGAAUAACUCAGGGAAACUUGUGCUAAUACCGAAUGUGCCCUUCGGGGGAAAGAUUAAUCGCCUUUAGAGCGGCCCGCGUCUGAUUAGCUAGUUGGUUGAGGUAAUGGCUCACCAAGGCGACGAUCAGUAGCUGGUCUGAGAGGAUGAUCAGCCACAUUGGGACUGAGACACGGCCCAAACUCCUACGGGAGGGAGGAGUGGGGAAUCUUGCGCAAUGGGCGAAAGCCUGACGCAGCCAUGCCGCGUGAAUGAUGAAGGUCUUAGGAUUGUAAAAUUCUUUCACCGGGGACGAUAAUGACGGUACCCGGAGAAGAAGCCCCGGCUAACUUCGUG